UGCAGGAUGACACCAUUUCAUGGCCACCUCUGAUUGCCAUGCUGAGGCCCCUUUCUGCUAUCCCAACUCUGAGG
rnacentral:snoRNA from 1 species